UAGGAUUCCCUUAGUAGCGGCGAGCGAAGAGGGAUGAGCCCAGCACCGAAUCCCGUAGUUUAACGGCUACUGGGAAAUGUGGUGUUUGGAAGCGUCCAUUAUCCCGAUGUCUACGGCAAUGCGUCCAAGUCCAUCUUGAACGGGGCCAAAACCCAUAGAGGGUGCCAGGCCCGUAGUGACCGUUGUCGAUGUCGGGAGGGCGUCUUCCGAGAGUCGGGUUGCUUGAGAGUGCAGCCCUAAGUGGGUGGUAAACUCCAUCUAAGGCUAAAUAUGACCACGAGACCGAUAGCGAACAAGUACCGUGAGGGAAAGUUGAAAAGAACUUUGAAGAGAGAGUUCAAUAGUACGUGAAACCGUUCAGGGGUAAACCUGAGAAACCCGAAAGGUCGAAGGGGGAGAUUCAUCAUGUCUCAUGUGUUGGCGUCGUGUAGUUGUGCGACGAGUGGCGUCCGCGUCAUUUGCGUCUGCUGUGCGAUAAUGCUGGCAUUGAACGUGUGCACUUCUCCCCUGGUAGGACGUCGCGAUCUGUUGGGUGUCGGUCUAAGGCCCGCGGUGGAGCCCGUUGGCGGUGAUUCGUUGCUGCUUUCGGACCCGCGGUGUUUCCCGGCCGACUCGCUCGACAGUGUACGGAUGGCGCAGGGCCGCGGCUUGCUCGCGUCCGGCCUACGGCAAGCAUUCCUGGUUGUGCUGGAUAUCGGACCUAGUGCCGGUUCUGGCCUCCGGUGGCUGUUAGCUGUGGUGCUCUCGGACAGACCCUGUUAAUUCAGCCAAUCUGCGACGCUAUUGCUUUGGGUACUUUCAGGACCCGUCUUGAAACACGGACCAAGGAGUCUAGCAUGUGCGCGAGUCACUGGGACAUAACUAAACCCAAAGGCGUAAUGAAAGUAAAGGUUCGUCUUGCGCGAACCGAGGGAAGAUGGGUGUCUGCAUUCGUCAGCGCCCCGCAUUCCCGGGGCGUCUCGUUCUCAUUGCGAGAAGAGGCGCACCUAGAGCGUACAUGCUGGGACCCGAAAGAUGGUGAACUAUGCCUGGUCAGGACGAAGUCAGGGGAAACCCUGAUGGAGGUCCGUAGCGAUUCUGACGUGCAAAUCGAUCGUCGGAACUGGGUAUAGGGGCGAAAGACUAAUCGAACCAUCUAGUAGCUGGUUCCCUCCGAAGUUUCCCUCAGGAUAGCUGGCGCUCGUUGCGUACGAGUCUCAUCCGGUAAAGCGAAUGAUUAGAGGCAUUGGGGUCGAAACGACCUCAACCUAUUCUCAAACUUUAAAUGGGUGAGAUCUCCGGCUUGCUUGAACAUGAAGCCGCGAGAAUAACGGAUCAGAGUGCCAAGUGGGCCAUUUUUG
rnacentral:rRNA from 1 species